rnacentral:rRNA from 1 species
GCAGCCGCCGCGGGAAUACGUAGGGUGCAAGCGUUAAUCGGAAUUACUGGGCGUAAAGCGUGCGCAGGCGGUUAUAUAAGACAGAUGUGAAAUCCCCGGGCUCAACCUGGGAACUGCAUUUGUGACUGUAUAGCUAGAGUACGGCAGAGGGGGAUGGAAUUCCGCGUGUAGCAGUGAAAUGCGUAGAUAUGCGGAGGAACACCGAUGGCGAAGGCAAUCCCCUGGGCCUGUACUGACGCUCAUGCACGAAAGCGUGGGGAGCAAACAGGAUUAGAUACCCGGGUAGUCCCUGUCUCUUAUAC